UACGUAGGGUGCGAGCGUUAAUCGGAAUUACUGGGCGUAAAGGGCGCGUAGGCGGCCGAUCAAGUCAGAUGUGAAAGUCCUGGGCUUAACCUGGGGACUGCAUUUGAUACUGAUUGGCUUGAAUGCAGGAGAGGAUAGCGGAAUUCCCAGUGUAGAGGUGAAAUUCGUAGAUAUUGGGAAGAACACCGGUGGCGAAGGCGGCUAUCUGGACUGUGAUUGACGCUGAGGCGCGAAAGCGUGGGGAGCAAACAGG
rnacentral:rRNA from 1 species